rnacentral:rRNA from 1 species
AGAGUUUGAUCCUGGCUCAGGACGAACGCUGGCGGCGUGCCUAAUACAUGCAAGUCGAGCGAUGAUUAGAGAUAGCUUGCUAUCUUUAUGAAGAGCGGCGAACGGGUGAGUAACGCGUGGGAAAUCUGCCGAGUAGCGGGGGACAACGUUUGGAAACGAACGCUAAUACCGCAUAACAAUGAGGAUCGCAUGAUUCUUAUUUAAAAGAAGCAAUUGCUUCACUACUUGAUGAUCCCGCGUUGUAUUAGCUAGUUGGUAGUGUAAAGGACUACCAAGGCGAUGAUACAUAGCCGACCUGAGAGGAUGAUCGGCCACACUGGGACUGAGACACGGCCCAGACUCCUACGGGAGGCAGCAGUAGGGAAUCUUCGGCAAUGGGGGCAACCCUGACCGAGCAACGCCGCGUGAGUGAAGAAGGUUUUCGGAUCGUAAAACUCUGUUGUUAGAGAAGAACGUUAAGUAGAGUGGAAAGUUACUUAAGUGACGGUAUCUAACCAGAAAGGGACGGCUAACUACGUGCCAGCAGCCGCGGUAAUACGUAGGUCCCAAGCGUUGUCCGGAUUUAUUGGGCGUAAAGCGAGCGCAGGUGGUUUCUUAAGUCUGAUGUAAAAGGCAGUGGCUCAACCAUUGUGUGCAUUGGAAACUGGGAGACUUGAGUGCAGGAGAGGAGAGUGGAAUUCCAUGUGUAGCGGUGAAAUGCGUAGAUAUAUGGAGGAACACCGGAGGCGAAAGCGGCUCUCUGGGCCUGUAACUGACACUGAGCUCGAAAGCGUGGGGAGCAACAGAUUAGAUACCCUGGUAGUCACGCGUAAACGAUGAGUGCUAGCUGUAGGGAGCUAUAAGUUCUCUGUAGCGCAGCUACGCAUUAGCACUCGCCUGCGAGUACGAACGGCAGGAUGGAACUUCAAGGAAUU